ACNUUAACUGUGGUGUUCUGAUAGGAUCAAGUGCAUUAGUGCUGGUAUGAUCGCAUCAGUUACUACAUGCAAUGCAAUC
rnacentral:sRNA from 1 species